rnacentral:lncRNA from 1 species
AAGGGCUUUCUGCAGUCCCUAAGGGUCACACGGGAUUUGUGAAAAUCACCAGAAGGCAGUCUAGGGGCUGUGGGGGUCACGACGGCCGGUCUGGGGAUGGUAGAAGUCACCAAAGGUCAAAGAGGGCGGUGAGUUAUUGGAUAUCACCCUUAGGCGUGGAGGGGGGGGGGGGGAGUCACCAUAAGCCAAUGGGAUUGGGGGGAGGGUCAGGGAUCAACAAGGUCCUAAGAGCCACGGGGUCGAGAGACCAGAAGUCACAGGUCAGGGCUCGUCCACACAGGUGUGAAGACCUGGCCUUAGCCUGGCUCCAGGAAGUGCCUUCGAUGCCAAAACCCAGUAGGAGGUGUGCAGGCCUCGGUACUUGGUAAGCAGAAAGCGCCCCGUUCCAACUCCAGAGAGCGCCACUGGGAGACGGGGCUAAGCCGGAUGAUCUGGGCCACGAGCCUCACCUCUACCCCAGGUGGAGACUCCAGCCUGUUUUCGUCGCCCUCCCAGCUUGACGACGGGCCUGUUGCCUGGAGAUGUGAGCGCACUGGCCGUGUAAUGGGGGCGUGAGCGCUGCAGAUCCUGUCUCUUCUCCGUCCGAGACAAGCAAACCAAUAAGGACCGUCGCGCGUGGAGGGCUCCCAACACCCUUUCGCCCGAUUGUGCUUAGUGAGGCUCCUUUACGGCGCGUUUCCAGACCGCUCCGGACUACCCUAAGUUCUCC